rnacentral:rRNA from 1 species
GGGAAACUUACCAAGGCCAAACAGAGGUGGGAUUGACAGAUUGAGAGCUCUUUCUUGAUUCUUUGGGUGGUGGUGCAUGGCCGUUCUUAGUUGGUGGAGUGAUUUGUCUGGUUAAUUCCGUUAACGAACGAGGGCUUAAUUUGACUCAACACGGGAAAUCUCACCAGGCCCGGCUACUGGAAGGAUUGACAGAUUGAUAUUGAUAUUGAGCAAUAA